CCUACGGGAGGCAGCAGUGAGGAAUAUUGGUCAAUGGACGAGAGUCUGAACCAGCCAAGUAGCGUGAAGGAUGACUGCCCUAUGGGUUGUAAACUUCUUUUAUAUGGGAAUAAAACAGGGUAUGCAUACCCUCUUGUAUGUACCAUAUGAAUAAGGAUCGGCUAACUCCGUGCCAGCAGCCGCGGUAAUACGGAGGAUCCGAGCGUUAUCCGGAUUUAUUGGGUUUAAAGGGUGCGUAGGCGGCCUUUUAAGUCAGCGGUGAAAGUCUGUGGCUCAACCAUAGAAUUGCCGUUGAAACUGGGAGGCUUGAGUAUGUUUGAGGCAGGCGGAAUGCGUGGUGUAGCGGUGAAAUGCUUAGAUAUCACGCAGAACCCCGAUUGCGAAGGCAGCCUGCCAAGCCAUGACUGACGCUGAUGCACGAAAGCGUGGGGAUCAAACAGGAUUAGAUACCCCUGUAGUC
rnacentral:rRNA from 1 species